rnacentral:rRNA from 1 species
AACGAACGCUGGCGGCAUGCCUAACACAUGCAAGUCGAACGAGACCUUCGGGUCUAGUGGCGCACGGGUGCGUAACGCGUGGGAACCUGCCCUUAGGUUCGGAAUAACUCCCCGAAAGGGGUGCUAAUACCGGAUAAUGUCUUCGGACCAAAGAUUUAUCGCCUUUGGAUGGGCCCGCGUUGGAUUAGCUAGUUGGUAGGGUAAAAGCCUACCACGGCGACGAUCCAUAGCUGGUCUGAGAGGAUGAUCAGCCACACUGGGACUGAGACACGGCCCAGACUCCUACGGGAAGCAGGAGUGGGGAAUAUUGGACAAUGGGGGAAAGCAUGAUCCAGCAAUGCCGCGUGAGUGAUGAAGGCCUUAGGGUUGUAAAGCUCUUUUACCCGGGAUGAUAAUGGCAGUACCGGGAGAAUAAGCUCCGGCUAACUCCGUG